rnacentral:lncRNA from 8 species
AUGAACACUUACCACGCUGCAUCUUGGUCUACUCCUUUGGACGGUCGUUACAGAAGAUCCCACCACCAAAGGACCAAGCAGCGUGGGCAGGAUGACUGGACAUAUGAGGACAUCCUGGAUGGCAACGGAUCCUGGACGUGGGAGGAGAUCCAGGCCGGAAGGGAUCGCCUCCCAUGGGAACAGGAGGAAGCAGCGAGGGAGGUACAGCGACGAGAUCGACAGGCAAGGCAACAACGGAGGCCCGACAGGCAGCACCCAAAACAUUUUUUGGAGGGGAACACGGGUAGAUUGGCUAAGGUGGUUUUAAGACCUGAGCCAACUCCCCGUGCUUAUCGUGGGGAGCGAGUGACUGAACAAGCACCAUGGUAUGCGGUGAUGCGCACUGUGUCGCCCAUGCGCACUCACAGCCCGGUGCGCUCGGCACAAGCUCUUCACCGUUGCCGUGCUAGAGUUGGCCGUCAGCCAGGAAGAAGUGCGCCGGCUCAGCGUAUCUGGUCUCCAGUGCGUCUCUUCGGCCCAGGCUAUCCUGCGCCUGCUCUACGCAUGGUACCCCCCGUUCACCAGCGCAGCACAGUUCAUCCUGUACCAGCGCUCCGCCCUUGCUGGGCGAAAAUAACCAUCCAGCCAGGACGGGGUGUGCCAGCCCUAAGCUCCAGACCUCCAGUGCGCCUCCAUAGCCCAGUACGUCCUGUGCCUGCUCCUCGCACUCUCCCUCCAGUGCGCCUCCAGAGCCCAGUACGUCCUGUGCCUGCUCCGCGCACUCUCCCUCCAGUGCGCCACCAUAGCCCAGUGCGUCCUGUGCCUGCUUCUCGCACUCUUCCUCCAGUACGCCUCCAUAGCCCGAUACGGCCAGUGCCUGCUUUGAGCACUCAGUCCUCAGUGUGUCUCCCCAGUCCGGUGAGACCUGGUCCAGCUCCACGAAUAAAGCCUCCAGUGAUAAUCUAUGGUCCGAAGCCUGUAGAGAUGAUCCAUGGCACGAAGCCUCUAGUGAUGAUCCAUGGCCCGGAGCCUGUAGGGAUAAUCCAGACGGUUUGUUUCACUAUGCGGUUAGGUCAGGGUGUGGGGUGGGCAUUCUAUGGUGUCUAUUUCUGUGUUGAGCCGAGUAUGGUUCCUAAUUAG